rnacentral:lncRNA from 1 species
CCAGAAAAACAACUGAGUGAUCGGGAGAUUAUCAGCCUCCAGGAAAAAGACUUUAUUUUAGCCUGUGGACGCUGAAGAUGAUGCAAGACAUUGGAAAUAAACCAGAGGCAAAGAUUGAUAAUUUACAGGAAACACUGAGCAAAGAAAUACAAGAUUUAAAACUUAAGCAAGCAGAGAUGCAAAAUACAAUAACUGAAAUUAAAAAAUCAUUAGAAGCAACCAACAGCAGAAUACAGGAGGCAGAAGAAUGAAUAAGUGAGGUGGAGGACAGACUACUAGAAAUCACUGAUGCAGAACAGAAGAGAGAAAAAAAGAUUGAAAAGAAAUGAAGAGUCUCAGAGAACUCUGGGACAACGUUAAAUGCACCAACAUCCAUAUUAUAGGGGUGCCAGAAGGAGAAGAGAGAGAGCAAGGGACAGAAAAAAUAUUCAAAGAGAUAAUAGCCAAAAACUUCCCUAACAUGGGAAAGGAACCACUCGCUCAAAUCCAGGAAGCAGUUACCAUAUAAAAUAAACCCAAGGAGGAACACCCCAAGACACAUAUUAAUCAAACUGACUAAAAUUAAAGACAAAGAAAAAAAUCUUGAAAGCAGCUAGGGAAAAGAAACAAAUAAUAUACAAGGGAACCCUGAUAAGGUUAUCGGCAGAUUUUUCAGCAGCAACUCUUCAGGCCAGAAGGGAGUGGCAUGAUAUACUUAACAUGAUGAAAGGAAAAAACCUUCAGCCAAGAUUACUUCACCCAGCAAGGCUCUCAUUCAGAUCUGCAGGAGAAAUCAAAAGCUUCAGAUAAGAAAAAGCUAAGAGAAUUCAGCAAAAUUAAACCAGCUUUACAACAAAUACUAAAGGAACUUGUCUAGGCAGAAAAGAAAAGGCCACAACCAGAAACAAAAAUACCACAAAUGACAAGGCUCACCAAUAAAGGCAUAUAUACAGUAAAGAUAGGAAAUCACAAUUAUGCUACCCAAAUCAGAAAUCAUGAGAAGAGAAGGGUACAAAUGUAAGACACUGGAGAUGUACUUGCAAUUAAGAGACCAACAACUUAAAACAAGCUCAUGUAUAUAUAUAUAUAUAUACACUCCUACAUCAAAACUUCAAGGCAACUGCAAACCAAAAAUCUACAAUUUAUGCACAAACAAAUAAGAAAAAUCAACUCAAAUACAACACUAAAGAUAGUCAUCAAACCACAAG